rnacentral:rRNA from 1 species
GACGAACGCUGGCGGCGUGCUUAACACAUGCCAGUCGAACGGAAAGGCCCUGCUUUUGUGGGGUGCUCGAGUGGCGAACGGGUGAGUAACACGUGAGUAACCUGCCCUUGACUUUGGGAUAACUUCAGGAAACUGGGGCUAAUACCGGAUAGGAGCUCCUGCUGCAUGGUGGGGGUUGGAAAGUUUCGGCGGUUGGGGAUGGACUCGCGGCUUAUCAGCUUGUUGGUGGGGUAGUGGCUUACCAAGGCUUUGACGGGUAGCCGGCCUGAGAGGGUGACCGGCCACAUUGGGACUGAGAUACGGCCCAGACUCCUACGGGAGGCAGCAGUGGGGAAUAUUGCACAAUGGGCGGAAGCCUGAUGCAGCAACGCCGCGUGCGGGAUGACGGCCUUCGGGUUGUAAACCGCUUUCGCCUGUGACGAAGCGUGAGUGAAGGUAAUGGGUAAAGAAGCACCGGCUAACUACGU